ensembl:lncRNA
UUCCCUGAUGGCUCUGACUUCUGUUGAAGCAUCAGCCUGACGGCUGUAGUCGGGCACAUCUUCCUGUUCAUUUUCAUUGUCUCGCUCUCUUUCUUGUUCAACAAGUGGCAACCUUACAAGAUCUGAUUCAGGUGCCAGAUUACACCAUUCGUCAGUCACACCUCUGUUCUGCUCAUAUUCCUCAACAGCGCUCUCGAUCUCCUCGCUGUUUUUCUCAUAUUUCUCUCUGUUUCUUUUGACAAUGUGUUGCACGUACUCAAGACGGUCAGUACCUGGUAGCUGUACACAGCCAGCACCAUAGAAAGCCUGAUAGGUUGGCAACGAUGGUGUUUUCAGUUCGUGGUCUGAACGAUGAGGAAGGUACAGUUUAAGCAGUCUUCCAUAAUAUUUCUCCGGAUGUUUUUCUUGUGAGCAGCGGUGAAAUCUGAUGACAGCAGGCUUAUCAUUUUGCGCCUCUGCACAAAUCCCAUCUCAUUGAGAAGGGCAAAACAUCUUUACCUUUUGUCUGUUGGCCAUAGACAAUCCUGCAAGUAGCAGCAAAGUCUGCCAUGCACAUCUCCUCAUACUCUGGUGUUUCAGGUCUGGCUUUGUAUUUGUCAUUCAAAGAUGUCAUCCAAACAUUGGAAGACUCAGGUGUUGUGUUGUCCAGAACUGACAGGGGACGACUCAUUUUCACAGGAUUAUCAUCAGUUGGUAUGAAUAUUACAGCACGUGAACAUUGCUUCAUGUGAAGACCACAUGCACGAGCAACACACUCCUGUGCACUGAUCUCUCGCUUCUUUGAAUAUGCCUGCAUGACGGCUCUCAUUUCAUCACACUCAUUUACACUGUCCUUCUGGGAGCUCUCAAUGACAGUUUUCAGGUACUCAGACAGCCCGCCCUCUUUUUUUGAUAUAUAUUUCAUUAAAUAAUUUGCAGCGCCGAAAGCAUCUAAAACAAAGCUUAUGUCGAUAUUACUGUUCCAGGCUUCAAGCAGAUGUGGAUUAUAGCCAUUUAUCCAAGAGUCUUUUGGAUCACGCUUUAGUAUGAUCGUACUCCUUGUGUUCAUUUUAUUCAGGUAUCGCUCAUAUUCUGCAUGUGUCAACUUGCAUCUUGCCAAGAGCUGCUCUAAACUCAUGGAAGCAGUUUCAGGCUCAUUCAGCAGCUGGUUCAGUGGUCUGAGCUUGUUCUUUGCUGUUUCUACUUCCAGUUCAUCAUCCUCACUGGGUCUUGUGAUCAUUGUCUCAUUGCAGGGUGGUUUGGGAAAACCAAAACGGCACCCGGAGCUUAAACUCCUAAAGCACGUCUUUGUGUGGUUCUUACUGUGUUUUUGCACUUCUGUUACUUUCUU